rnacentral:ncRNA from 2 species
GCCGGUACUCAGGGGUGCCCAAAGAUUACGGGCUGAGAUCAUACCCAUAGAACCUGAUCCGGGUAAUGCCGGCGAAGGGAGAGGUUCGGGAAACAAA